rnacentral:rRNA from 1 species
UACAGAGGGUGCGAGCGUUAAUCGGAAUUACUGGGCGUAAAGCGCGCGUAGGCGGCUUUGUAAGUCGGUUGUGAAAUCCCCGGGCUUAACCUGGGAACUGCAUCCGAGACUGCAUAGCUAGAGUAUGGGAGAGGGAAGUGGAAUUUCAGGUGUAGCGGUGAAAUGCGUAGAUAUCGGGAGGAACACCAGUGGCGAAGGCGGCUUCCUGGCCUGUUCUUGACGCUGAGGCGCGAAAGCCAGGGGAGCAAACGGG